UACGGAGGGUGCGAGCGUUAAUCGGAAUUACUGGGCGUAAAGGGUGCGUAGGCGGUUGAACCAGUCGGAUGUGAAAGCCCCGGGCUUAACCUGGGAGUUGCAUUCGAUACUGUUCAGCUAGAGUACGAUAGAGGGUGGUGGAACUCCAGGUGUAGCGGUGAAAUGCGUAGAUAUCUGGAAGAACACCAGUGGCGAAGGCGGCCACCUGGAUCGUAACUGACGCUGAGGCACGAAAGCGUGGGGAGCAAACAGG
rnacentral:rRNA from 1 species